CGGGAAAUGGGGAUAAUACCCUAUAGACUAUGGAUGCUGGAAUGCUUCGUAGUUGAAAGGUCCGCCGCUGUAGGAUGGGUCUGCGGCCGAUUAGGUUGUUGUUGGGGUAACGGCCCAACAAGCCUGUAAUCGGUACGGGUUGUGGGAGCAAGAGCCCGGAGAUGGAUUCUGAGACACGAAUCCAGGCCCUACGGGGCGCAGCAGGCGCGAAAACUUUGCAAUGCGGGAAACCGGGACAAGGGAACUCUGAGUGCCCGUAAAAUCGGGCUGUCCAUCGGUUUAAAAAACCGGUGAAGAAAGGGCCGGGCAAGACCGGUGCCAGCCGCCGCGGUAACA
rnacentral:rRNA from 1 species